AGCAGCCGCGGUAAUUCCAGCUCCAAUAGCGUAUAUUAAAGUUGCUGCAGUUAAAAAGCUCGUAGUUGAAUUUCGGGACUAAUAUGUCGGUCGUGCCUCGGUACGUACUGGCAUUUUUGGUUUCUCCCUUCUGACGAACCUUGAUGUCAUUAAUUUGGUGUCUUGGGAAAUCAGGACUGUUACUUUGAAAAAAUUAGAGUGUUUAAAGCAGGCUCACGCUUGAAUACAUUAGCAUGGAAUAAUGAAAUAGGACGUUUGAUUCUAUUUUGUUGGUUUCUAGGAUCGACGUAAUGAUUAAUAGGGAUAGUUGGGGGCAUUAGUAUUCAAUUGUCAGAGGUGAAAUUCUUGGAUUUAUUGAAGACUAACUACUGCGAAAGCAUUUGCCAAGGAUGUUUUCAUUAAUCAAGAACGAAAGUUAGGGGAUCGAAGACGAUCAGAUACCGUCGUAGUCUUAACCAUAAACUAUGCCGACUAGGGAUCGGAUGAUGUUAAUUUUUUAAUGACUCAUUCGGCGCCUUACG
rnacentral:rRNA from 1 species